rnacentral:tRNA from 2 species
GUUUCUAUAGUUGAAUAACAACGAUGAUUUUUCAUGUCAUUGGUCAUAGUUAGAGUCUAUGUAGAAAUU